rnacentral:rRNA from 1 species
UACGAAGGGGGCUAGCGUUGUUCGGAAUUACUGGGCGUAAAGCGCACGUAGGCGGAUCGAUCAGUCAGGGGUGAAAUCCCAGGGCUCAACCCUGGAACUGCCUUUGAUACUGUCGAUCUGGAGUAUGGAAGAGGUGAGUGGAAUUCCGAGUGUAGAGGUGAAAAUUCGUAGAUAUUCGGAGGAACACCAGUGGCGAAGGCGGCUCACUGGUCCAUUACUGACGCUGAGGUGCGAAAGCGUGGGGAGCGAACAGG